rnacentral:sRNA from 1 species
CAACAUCAGAAAGGAGGUGAUCCAGUGUCUCAUUGUCUAUCGCCGCAGACGUCGGCAUCCGCGACCUGGAAUCUCGCCUCGGUGGGGUUCCACGUCAGCUAGCGGUCCCGCGGAUUUGCGGUUCGGCAAUGGAAGGGCCGCCCCGUACGGGCGGCCCU